rnacentral:rRNA from 1 species
UACGUAGGGGGCGAGCGUUAUUCGGAUUUAUUGGGCGUAAAGGGUGCGUAGGCGGUUUAUUAAGUCUAAGAUUAAAUCCCGGGGCUUAACCCCGGUUCGUCUUAGAAACUGGUAGACUUGAGUAUGGUAGAGGCAAGUGGAAUUUCUAGUGUAGCGGUUAAAUGCGUAGAUAUUAGAAGGAACACCAGUGGCGAAGGCGGCUUGCUGGGCCAUUACUGACGCUGAGGCACGAAAGCGUGGGGAGCAAAUAGG